rnacentral:rRNA from 1 species
AACGAACGCUGGCGGCAUGCCUAACACAUGCAAGUCGAACGAGACCUUCGGGUCUAGUGGCGCACGGGUGCGUAACGCGUGGGAACCUGCCCUUAGGUUCGGAAUAACUCCCCGAAAGGGGUGCUAAUACCGGAUAAUGUCUUCGGACCAAGGAUUUAUCGCCUUUGGAUGGGCCCGCGUUGGAUUAGCUAGUUGGUAGGGUAAAAGCCUACCAAGGCGACGAUCCAUAGCUGGUCUGAGAGGAUGAUCAGCCACUCUGGGACUGAGACACGGCCCAGACUCCUACGGGAGGCAGCAGUGGGGAAUAUUGGACAAUGGGCGAAAGCCUGAUCCAGCAAUGCCGCGUGAGUGAUGAAGGCCUUAGGGUUGUAAAGCUCUUUUACCCGGGAUGAUAAUGACAGUACCGGGAGAAUAAGCUCCGGCUAACUCCGU